rnacentral:rRNA from 1 species
ACGACGCUGGCGGCACGCCUAACACAUGCAAGUCGAACGCAGUAGCAAUACUGAGUGGCGAACGGGUGAGUAUAAUGUAGGUAUCUGCCUUUUGGUUUGGAAUAACACGAGGAAACUUGUGCUAAUACCGGAUAAGCCUUCACAGGGAAAGUUUUAACGCCAAAAGAUGAGCCUGCACUUGAUUAGCUAGUUGGUAAGGUAAUGGCUUACCAAGGCUACGAUCAAUAGCUGUUCUUAGAGGAAGAUCAGCCACAUUGGGACUGAGACACGGCCCAAACUCCUACGGGAGGCAGCAGUGGGGAAUAUUGCACAAUGGGGGAAACCCUGAUGCAGCGAUGCCGCGUGAGUGAAGAAGGCCUUUGGGUUGUAAAGCUCUUUCGUCGGGGAAGAAAAUGACUGUACCCGAAUAAGAAGGUCCGGCUAACUUCGUGCCAGCAGCCGCGGUAAUACGAAGGGACCUAGCGUAGUUCGGAAUUACUGGGCUUAAAGAGCUCGUAGGUGGUUAGAAAAGUUGGUGGUGAAAUCCCAAGGCUUAACCUUGGAACUGCCAUCAAAACUUUUUAACUAGAGUAUGAUAGAGGAAAGUGGAAUUUCUAGUGUAGAGGUGAAAUUCGUAGAUAUUAGAAAGAACACCAAUUGCGAAGGCAGCUUUCUGGAUCAUUACUGACACUGAGGAGCGAAAGCAUGGGUAGCGAAGAGGAUUAGAUACCCUCGUAGUCCAUGCUGUAAACGAUGUGUGCUAGACGUUGGAAAUUUAUUUUUCAGUGUCGCAGCAAAAGCGAUAAGCACACCGCCUGGGGAGUACGACCGCAAGUA